AUGGCGGGGCGCGACGGCGACGUGGCCGUGAUGGCGGUGGCGGAGGAUGAGGCAAGGAGGAGGAGGAGGAGGCAGGCGGAGCGGGUGGCGCUGCCGGCCGGCAUGGUGCUGGUGCAGGUGCUGACGGUGGUGACCAUGCUGCUUUCCAAGGUGGCUCUCAACAGCGGCAUGCACCCGCUCGUCCUGCUCGUCUACCGGAACCUCGUCGGCGCCGCCUUCGUCGCCCCCCUCGCCGUCGUCUUCGAGAGGGAGAUGUGGAAGAAGGUGAACCCGCGAGUGCUGGGCUGGAUUUCCCUCAACGCAACGUUCGGAGUACUGUUGGCGAUGGGGCUGUAUUACUGCGGCUUGCGGACCACCAGCGCCGCCUACGCCGUCAACUUCCUCAACCUCAUCCCCAUCGCUACCUUCAUCAUCGCCGUCGCGCUCCGAGCCGAGAGCCUGUCCCUCGCCGUCUGGGCCAGCAGGAUGAAGCUCCUCGGAGCUGUCGUGGGCGUCGCCGGCACCAUGGUCGUCAGCCUCUGCAAGGGCACCCAUCUCCUGCUGCCGCACCUCCGGCAGUCCUUCCAUGCCAACCCCCACGUCGCCUCGCCCCACGGCGGCCGCGACAUGGCCAUCGGCACGCUUUUCCUGUGCGGGAGCUGCGUCAGCUACGCGCUCUGGUUCGUCGUGCAGGCCAAGGUCGCCAAGGUGUUCCCGUCCCGGUACUGGGCCACGGCACUCACGUGCGCCGCGGGCAGCUUGCAGUCUGCCGUGGCCGCGGCCGUGGCGGUCGUCCUCGCCCCCGCCGGCGACGGACAUGGAUGGGCGCGCACGUGGACGCUGCGCUGGGACCUGCAGCUGGCCACGGUGGUCUACUCCGGGGUGUUCAACACGGGCGUCACGUUCGUGCUCGUGUCGUGGGCGGUGGAGCGCCGCGGCCCGGUGUACCCUCCCAUGUUCAACUCCCUGUCGCUCGUCGCCACCACCGCCGUCGACGCCGUCGUACUCGGAACCGACGUGUACCUCGGCGGCGUGCUGGGAGCGGCGCUCGUCGUCGUCGGCCUCUAUGCGUUUCUGUGGGGCAAAAGCAAGGAGCUCGCGGCCGCCAAAGCGGUCAACGCCGAGCAGGAGCUGCGGUGUGCAGGAGACACCGACGAUGGCAUUGCCUAG
rnacentral:rRNA from 1 species